GUGGGGAAUAUUGCGCAAUGGGCGAAAGCCUGACGCAGCGACGCCGCGUGAGGGAUGAAGGUUUUCGGAUCGUAAACCUCUGUCGGAAGGGAAGAAGGCGCACCGUGCCAAUCAGCGGUGUGUUGACGGUACCUUCAAAGGAAGCGCCGGCUAACUCCGUGCCAGCAGCCGCGGUAAUACGGAGGGCGCAAGCGUUAAUCGGAAUUACUGGGCGUAAAGCGCGCGUAGGCUGUUUCGUAAGUCAGGGGUGAAAUCCCACGGCUCAACCGUGGAACUGCCCUUGAUACUGCGGGACUUGAAUCCGGGAGAGGGUGGCGGAAUUCCAGGUGUAGGAGUGAAAUCCGUAGAUAUCUGGAGGAACACCAGUGGCGAAGGCGGCCACCUGGCCCGGUAUUGACGCUGAGGUGCGAAAGCGUGGGGAGCAAACAGG
rnacentral:rRNA from 1 species